AAUGCUUGGCUCACGUCUUGCGAUUUUAUGAGUGUAAUGUAAAUAGGUUCACGAAUGCAAUUGGAGGGCAAGUCUGGUGCCAGCAGCCGCGGUAAUUCCAGCUCCAAUAGCGUAUAUUAAAGUUGUUGCAGUUAAAAAACUCGUAGUUGGAAUGGCAGUGUGUGCUGGCGAGCAUAGAUAAAGUAAUGCUUGCCGUGUGUGUGCACACUGGGCAUACGACGGGGCGGCCAUUCAGUUGGACUGCCGGCCGUGUAUGCCGACACGUUACUUUGACGAAAUUGGGGUGCUCAAAGCAGGCUCUGUCAGCCUGAACAUUUUAGCAUGGGAUAACACUGGGAACUGUCCUAUUUGUUGGUUACAUAGGUUAGCUCUUUGGUUAAUAGGGGCAGUUGGGGGCGAUUAGUACUUGGAAGCUAGAGGUGAAAUUCUUGGACUUUCCAAUGACUACCUAAUGCGAAGGCAUUUGUCCAAGGAUGUUCCGUUAAUCAAGAAUGAAGGUCAAGUU
rnacentral:rRNA from 1 species